rnacentral:rRNA from 1 species
AGCGAACGCUGGCGGCGUGCCUAACACAUGCAAGUCGAACGUGAACGGCUUCGGCCUAGUAAAGUGGCGUACGGGUGAGUAACACGUAGGUAAUCUACCCCAGAGUCUGGAAUAACCUGCCGAAAGGCGGGCUAGUACUGGAUAGAGCGACGGAAUCCGUAAUUGGGUUUUUCGGGAAAGGGAGCUGGCAACAGCCCUCGCUUUGGGAUGAGCCUGCGUCUCAUUAGCUAGUUGGUGCGGUAAUGGCUCACCAAGGCUUGGAUGGGUAGCUGGUCUGAGAGGAUGAUCAGCCACCCUGGAACUGAAACACGGUCCAGACUCCUACGGGAGGCAGCAGUGGGGAAUCUUGCGCAAUGGACGAAAGCCUGACGCAGCCACGCCGCGUGAGUGAAGAAGGCCUUCGGGUUGUAAAGCUCUGUCGGGAGGGACGAAAGUCGUUUAGGUGAAUAGCCUAGGCGACUGACGGUACCUUCAAAGGAAGCACCGGCUAACUUCGUGCCAGCAGCCGCCGUAA